CUCGCCAUGGCUCAAUGGGUGGAGCGCCAGUCCCAUAAGCUGAAGGUUCGAGGUUCGACCCCCUCGUGGCGAG
rnacentral:tRNA from 1 species